UAGAGUAGAUAUUGCGCGUAAAGUGUCAUAAGAUGGGAUGUUGCUUAUGAACGAAGGAUUAGAACCGCGGUGCAAUGUCGCGUCCGCUA
rnacentral:ncRNA from 1 species